AGGACGAACGCUGGCGGCGUGCUUAACACAUGCAAGUCAAGGACCGUAGCAAUACGGAACUGGCGCACGGGUGCGGAACACGUAGGCAAUCUGCCCUUGAAGGGAGAACAACCAGUCGAAAGAUUGGCUAAAUCUCCGUAAAAUCAUAGAGUGGCAUCACUUAUUGAUCAAGUUUUUCAAGGAUGAGCCUGCGUCUGAUUAGUUAGUUGGCGGGGUAAUGGCCCACCAAGACGAAGAUCGGUA
rnacentral:rRNA from 1 species